CCGCCAGCGAUGGCCGCGUUGCGAGGUGCUGCAUGGUUGUCGUCAGCUCGUGCCGUGAGGUGUCGGGUUAAGUCCCAUAACGAGCGCAACCCCUACCUUUAGUUGCCAUCAGGUAAUGCUGGGGACUCUAAAGGAACUGCCUACGCAAGUAGUGAGGAAGGCGGGGAUGACGUCAAAUCAGCACGGCCCUUACGUCCAGGGCUACACACGUGCUACAAUGGCCGAUACAGAGGGCAGCUACCUGGUGACAGGAUGCAAAUCUCCAAAGUCGGUCUCAGUUCGGAUCGGAGUCUGCAACCCGACUCCGUGAAGUUGGAUUCGCUAGUAAUCGCGCAUCAGCCAUGGCGCGGUGAAUACGUUCCCGGGCCUU
rnacentral:rRNA from 1 species